UCCUUAGCCAUUUUGUUAAGCGGUAUUAUGUUCUUCAAUAUGGAAACUCCAAUAAUUUCUCAAUCAAUUGAAAUCUUCUCCAAUACUCUUCAAUCAAUCUUUAAAACCUCAUAAAAAUUCAUAUAUCUUGCCUGUUCCAUCGUUCCAUCUCUCCGUUACAAUCAAAAACCCUAAAUCCAGUGUUUCCUUUCAUCAUUUGCCUCCUAAUUGAAAGAACCUAGAUCUCAUCUCUCUACUCUCUACCUGGUAAGUUUUCGUUUAGGGUUUGAUUUCAUAUCUUGAUGUUUCUAUCCUGCUUCUUUCUCGAUUUCCCGUCUCAGAUUCUUAACACAUCGACCCUUGAGGCCAUGGGAGAUGGUAAAAAAGAAGAGACAGAGAGUGGUGGAGUAAUGGAUGCCGUUCAAGGUCUCUGUCUGGCCGUCCUAUCAAAAGAACCCUAAAUUUCUACCUUUGCCUCUGUCUAAUCUCUAUGAUUUCUUUAUAUUCGAUUUUGUAAAAGAAAAACAAGAGAGAGAGAGAGAGAGAGAGAGAGGAAGCAAAUGAGGGACGCAGAGGGAUAUGAAGGUCAUCUUCUCCGACAACCGGUGUCUGCGAUAGGGAUACCGGUUUCUUAGUAUUCAGCGGUGGCGGUUCCAAUGUUGUUGUUGAUGGCGGUUUCUUUUUUAAAUGAAAUGAGUUUUUGGAUAUGAUAAUAUAAUGGGGAAAAAGGAAGCUGUUUUUCUUCAAUUAAAAAGGCUCUCAGUCCUCACUCAAAGGAAAAGAAAAACCAGCAGGUGAUUGAUACGUAAGCCGUUUCAGAUCGCUUCACAUAUUAGGGAUUUUCAUUCGAUUUACUAAGAUGGAAAAUCUCUUAUCGCAAUGGUACAUGUUUUAGAUUUAGUGAGAUGAAAAACCUAUGGAUAACCUGGUGAUUUAAAGCGCUUCUAAUACUUUAGUGAGUUGAACAUGCUCUAUUUUAUAGAGACGAAUCUGGGUGAUUUUGGGUGUCUGGUGUCAAAAAGUAGUCGACUUAGGUCAACUUUGUUUGGUACAGUACAAGGAACACCAUGGUCAGACCACUGAUCGAAGGAUUUGGCCGGUAAUUACAUCAAAACUCGAGCAACGACAACGUGUGAGGUAGCGGCGGUUGUGGUGGAGGUAAACCGCCAAGAGAAGAAGAAAAAAAGGGAAAACAGGAGUUUGACAUCAACUUCCAUUGUUGGUUUAAAUUUAAAGGAGGUCAAAGAUGUACGGAUGGCAAUGUUAGUGGCGGUUGAGUGCAAAUAAGGUUUACCAGUCAGGAGGAACAGGGGUUUGUUUUCAUGUGAGGCUAUAUGUCUACUUGCUAUUGAUAAGAAAAAUGAGUUAAUUAGUUGUUGCUGCAAGUAAUAGUUCAAUGUCUGGGUGGUGGUGAAAGCCUGAAUCAACUCUAUAAACGUUGAACAAAUUCAUUGCAAGCGAUUGGCAGUAAAUACCAAGGGGAGCGGGUUGGGGUGGUGACUCAUGGUGGUGUGAUCAGAGCACUUCACGAGCGGGCUUCUUUAGGUACAGGACACCGAGCAGGAAGGAUACUGAAUGUUUCAGUCAAUGUAUUACACUUAUCGGAUCCCGAAAAAUGGGUGAUCAAAUCAUGGGGGGAUGUUAGUCAUUUGAAUGGAGCCGGGUACUUAGAGCAUUCACAUCCAAUCCAUCAAAUUAUACAUACAUUUCACUAAAAAACAAUUCCUAUAUCAAUAUAUUUCCACUAAAAACAAAUACUUUUUCUCUCUCCUUUCAAUUAAAUAAUAUUAUCAUUACCUUUUUCUCUCACUUUCACCCACAACCACUUUUAAAACAUAUUAAAAAAUUAUAACGGGUGAACAGUGUCCCCCCAAAUAUACAGAUGAACAGUAACAUUUUCUCUCUCCUCUACUCACAACCACUUUUUAUACCCUUUAUAAUAUAAAAACCCCUCCUCACAUAAUUUGAUGGUUAGGAUGUGAAUGCUCUUAGACUCGGGUUUUGGUGGCGAUCGAACUUCUGGUCAGGCUUUUUCGUACAUGUCCAUUUCUUGACUUGCUAGAUGCAUUUAAUAACCAACAUGUCAAGUCUUUGAUGGGCUGUGAAUUAUUAAUGCCCUGAAUUAAUUUGUUUCUAAUCCCAUUAAUUGGGCAAUAGCGAUUUGGUAGAGAGAUAUUAUGUUUGAAUUGUUGGCCCACAUUGCACAUGGUUGCAAAUGAAGAUAAUCUGGAUUAUUAUUGGACUUUGAAGGGUGUUAGAAUCAAUAAUUAAUGACACAGCUAUAAGUUCACAACUAAUUGCGAGAAAUUAAUAUUUGAUUCUAGAGGCGUAGGACUACAAAAGAUGAUAUUUGAGAACUGAUAUUUUGGGAAAUUGUCGAAUACCAUCCUCAGCUUUUAAAAGAUGACAUGGUUGUAAACGAAAGCACCAUCUUUCUCUAUUCUAGUGUUAUGGGUCAGUUUGCAUAUUUAGAGGAACACAGUGGAAAACGGCCUAUUGUGCUUUCAGAACGGAAGCAUGUUUCCCUCUCGAGUAUGGACUUUGGAACCGGAAGAAUCCGAAAGGUGAGAGGACAAACUGGGUUAUGCAUGAAUACAGGUUUAUCGAUCAAGAGCUCUAAAAAGGCUGUUAUUAUGCAUGUCAGGGGUCGUUGAUUAUGACUAUUUUUGUCAUUCUUUUUAGUAUAUAUUUUGAUAUUUUUAUAUAGCUGUAGUACAAUGAUUUGUAAGUGCUUUAGUUAUUAGUAUUUAUAAGGUUGUACAA